UAAUACCUUUUUCUUCUCAGUAAAGGGCCAGAUUAAGACUCAGACUAUGGGAUUUCUAGAUGGUUUUCAUGCAUCAACACUUCUGAAUUCAUAAAGCUGUUGGGAAACAAAGGCAAUGUUACUCUAAGUGUCUCAUCCUCCUGCAUGAUUUGCCAUAUUUUCUGCCAAAAACGAAACUGGUUUUGCCUCCUCAGCGUGUGACCGUGUGUAUUUGUGUGCAGCUGAGUCAGUCAGCUGCAGCGAUCAGAGCCAAGAACACUGAAAAGCACCGCUGCCUAGUGCUUUGCAUAAACCAAGUUAAUUCUUUGGCACCUUAGGCUUUGGAAAAUGUUUUGUCUGAAAUAUUUGAUUUGAGUGGUUUGCUCAUUAAAACCUUCCUGGUUUAGAGGAUGGUUGUACAAGGUGAGAAAGGAAGAGCGGCAGAGAUGAGAGGGAGUGCUUGAUCUCCUGACUUAGACCGCUCAAACGUCACAGAGUGAGAUGCUGCCAUACUCCACAUCUCACUGUAACCUGCAAUGAUCCUAUUGAUGCAUUACUGAGUGUCUGAUUCCUGAUAGACGCACUAUUUGCACCCGGUUUCCUGCAAGACUCCUGGAUGCCAGAUGGGUUCUCACCAGCCCUGUGCUCAACCUUGGCAAACCGUUCUGUGAACCCAAGAUGUCUUCAUCCAUUUGCACAUGCAACAUGAACGUGUCCUUCGACAUUGACCUUCCUAAACAUAGCGUGGAUCUGGCUCGGUUGGCAAUUCCUGCACUUUCUGGAGAGGUUUUUGGGGUCUGUUUUCAGUUCACCAGGGCUACAAACUAUGGCAGCUUCCCUGUGAAGUCAGCAGUAAUGUGAAAACAGAAAUAAGCGUGCCUGUGGCAUCAGGAAUACUGCAGGUGCUUCCAGCUGGAUCCAUGCUUUGACACCUGGGAGAUAAAUGGUGGAGCCACAGGGCUUGACAGAUAUCCGAAGUCUAAAAGAAAACAAUGCCCAAAGUCUGUGAGCAAAAUGGACUCAAAGGAUGGAGAGAAGGAUGUCUGGUCACCGUCAAUCCCAGCGCCCUCCGCACGCUGUCCCUGGCCUGUCCCCACCUCAGCAGCUCCUCCACACCUGGAAGAGACGUUUCAGCCUUCUCCAUGUCUGCUUCCAUCUUCUCAUUCCCAGCAUAUGCAGAGGGUCUUCUGGUUUAUGUUCCCACGUGGAAAACGGGAUGCACUGAUAGAUGUAGGAGUUUACUGGCUAGAAAACCACCAUGUCUUCCAAAGAAUAACCACGUGGACUGUCCUGCUAAAUAGUCACAAGCACAAUACUGUGCAUAAUUCUUCAAAGGAGACAUCUUGACCUGCAGCCAUUCACUCACUGGUGAGUCCACAAAUACUGUUUCAGUACUCUUCUCUUUUUGUUGCUCUUGGAUUCCUUCGCCACCGAAAAAUGCUCUGGAUAAAGUGAUGGCUGGGCUGAAUGGGUGAGUCUAACAUUCAGCUCCUGCCAGGUCAGCCUCUGACUCUGAUUGCUUAUAAAACACCUGACAGGUUAACCUCAUUCAGAAGUGAAUUUGCCUUUUCAUCACCUCCAGCCGGUUCUGUUCCUCAGUCCCUCCUGAGAGCUGGAGCCUGUGAGCCACCCUUGGGUGCUGCUCCUUGCAGCUCUGCCCUGCGGGAAUGGGGGUCUCGGUGGGGUGGUGUUCUGGUUUUGUUAAAAACAAGUUUCUCUUUCAGUGAAUUUGCCUGUCAGCUAAAGCCUUCUUAUUAAAUGCACACUCCUGAAAGUUAGAUACAUGUUUUGGUAGACAUAGCGAUGGUGUGUGAGGUCAUUGAUAUGCGUGGAUGGACAUCUUGCAAGAGGGGCAACGAGAAACAGGUGACCAAAACCUGACCAACUAAGUAUUACAUCCCAUUCACAUGAUAGUUUGUAUAAAAAUGGGAGAUCACGACCAUCUUGUCCCUUUUCCUUAUGGCCACCAUUAGGAGAGGACCUUGUGAACUGAGGCCUAGUGAGAGACUGAAUCCAGCUCUAGUUGGCUGCAGAGUCCAGUCCAGGACUUCGGCUGCCAGCCCUGCAGUUUGGUUUUGUGUAUUUUUUAUUAUUUUCUCUAUUUUUAUUGGUAGCAUUAGUAAAACAUUUUUAAUUUUUCCAACUCUCUUCUCUUUGUCCUUCUUUCCAUCCCUGUCCUGAGUGGGAAGGGGGGAGAUGGAGGGGCUAAAGGCACAGAAGGGGGCGAGAGGGGGUUAACAAUACAUCUGCCAUGGUUUUAUUGUCACCUCGCAAUCAAACCUCGACAGGUUGUGUCCCAUGGGGGCCGUGGGGAGGGUCUCCAUGGAGAGGUGUCCCAUGGGGGCCGUGGGGAGGGUUGCAGGAUCCAUGCUCAGCGCUGAGCGUGCCUUCCCUGCAGAUGGCAGUGACAUUCUGUGCUGCAGCAAACCCUUCACUGGAUUUCCCCAGACUUUGUUUUUUCUUGCUAAGGGAAAAAAGAACCAAACACCAACCCUCUGUGCAGCCUAAAGAGCACAUUUUAUAUAGACUUUGCUUUGGCCCCAGCCUGCAGCCUAGAGAGAGCAGUGCUGUUUUAAGGCAAAGUAUUACAUAGGCCAUUCUCGUAUAAAAGCCUAGAAAACAUAAGAUAUGUGGGCAUGGUCCGAUUACAUUUAUUCCUUCUAUUUAUUUCUUAUGUUAUAUGGUCUUUUUUAAAGGUAAAUGAAGCCAGUAUGGUUUCUUGCAAGAGAAUCCUGAUUUAUAGACCUGUUUGAGUUUAGAAUUGGGAGAAAAAAAAGCAAGGAAAGAAAGGCACUCCUGUGCUAAUGGUAGACUGAACUAGCCACGGGAGAUUCAAACUCAAAAAGAAAUGUCUCUGCUCCCUUUUCCUUUAGUGAAGGUUAACAAGAAAAAGCUUAGAAAUUAAACAUCUGUUGGGCUUACAUUUCAGUGGCUUGCUCCUGCUGAUAUAAUCAGGCAUCUGAGAAGGUUUUCCUGACCCUGCUCAUCUUUCAUAAGGUUAAGUGAAGGCUUCAUGAAAAAUUUGCUCAGGCUAACUUAAGCCUCAGGACUGUUCAUCUCACCAGUGAUCUUGCCUUAUUAAGUAUUUGGGAUAUUAAGAGUGUGCAGAGGGAGCAGGUCAAAGCUGAGUCCUUACUCUCCCUCUGAGAAGAAAUAACCUCCUAGUCAAUGGAGCUUGACUUUGACUGAAUCGUAGCCAGUGACAUGGAAAGUCCGCAGGGUCCCAUCGCUGUCAUGUUCUCGUGCUCUGUGUGGCCAAUCUGUCACCCUUGGGGUGGCCCAGUGGCUGUGCUGCUCUUGAGGUCCUUGUACAGCACCUGAGCAGAUUGCUGUGCUGGAGACAUGAGAAAUGCCUGUGCUGGGAAGCUGCUUUAUUAUAAAUCAGCCUGGAAAGUUUGGGGAAUUAGCAUGAACAGCUCUCCUGGUAAGUAAAUGACUCUAACAAGGCCUCAUUUCCCAUGGAUGUUUUUCUUAUGCUGGAAACCCUUUGAUUUUACUUUAGGUGGGGAAAGUUUACUGGUAGUUGCAGUGAACCUGUAACACAUGUUCAUCCUUCCUGCACACACGCUCCCAUAGAAUGGAUGAAAACUCCAUCCAGCUCCUUCACCUGCCAUGCAGCACGUGCGGCCAUCACCUCUGACUGCGCAUCCUUCCCCAACCAGGCUGUAAUUUUUCAGCUAGAAGCAGGUGCUACAACUGCUGAAUUGCUCUUUUCACUGGUUCUCUGUGAGCAUCCUUCUCCUUCAAAUUCCUUUCCAGUCUGACAAGAAAAAUGAAGAAAACUCCUGGAUUCAGCUGACAUCUACUGUUUGAAAUACUGAUCACAGUGCUCAGAGGCAGAACAGAUGGCUUUUGGUCCCAGGUCGGAUAAAGGCCGAGCAAGCUUGGGUUGCCUCAGUUUCCUACAACAAUAAGACUUCUCAAAAAGGCUUUGAGACCUGGAGGGCAAGUCAUUGUUAGUGAACCGCAAAAUGUCGUUAUUCUUUUAUGGAAUAUAUUACUCUUUCUUCCCCCGUUUCCCACCCCACCCAAAUAAGCACUAAUAUAUAACCUCCCUUGCUUUGUGCGGUGUUCAGGAGUGACAUCUCACUUCUCCCUUAUUACUAAGAUGGAUCGAUACAUAGACAGAUACUUUGCAGCAGGCUUGAAGAGUUUCCUCAGACAGAUGCUCUGUUAUAUGAGAACAAUACGAUCUUCGGACGAAAGGAAGGGUGUCCUUCUUGAUGUUUACAGAGAGAGGUGGCGAGUUGCUUAGUCAAGGCUGUCAGCUUGAUGCCAAUACAUUGUUCCUUGCAUUGAACUGGUGCCUUGAGAUGAACAGUUAAGGAAGCAGGAGGUUGCAGGGGCACUGGAAGGAUCUAAGAGGUCAGUUAUGGAAGGAUUUGGUAAAAGUUGUCUCACAAAUCUCUUCUUCUAUGUCUGGUUUCUGGCAGGGAGUCCAGAAAAUUCCUUCCUGAUAAUUUCGUUAACUGUGAAAUAAAAGAGGAAGAAAUGUUAGAGCACUUUCAAAAUCACAAGAAGUAAAAGCAAUCCUUGGGUGGUUUGCUGUUAAGCUGAAAGUGUACCCUGUGUAUUCAUAACAUAAUUCUAUUAAAACUUAAAACUUUCAGUCUCGUUACCCAGCCUAUGUACUUUUGAAAGGCAAAGGGGAAGGAGUGGAGAGAGGGGGUUUCCACUGUGCUCAGCAUGCUUCAGGUGCCAUAAAAACACAGCUGGCAAGUGGUACUGUGGGUCCAGUACAUGCUACAUCCCUCACGUACACAACACUUUCCCGCUUUCACAGAUAUUUCCUUUACCCGGGUUAAAACCAAAUAAAAAUCUGUAAGUAUCUGAGCAUUUUAACAUUUUCAUUAGGAUGAAAUAAGAAUAUUUUGGAAAGAGAAAGGCCAGAUUUGGAGGAAACAUAGUGGACAGUGCUGAAAACAGAGAGACUGCAAAUCAAAUCUCACUGUAGACUCUAUUUGCUCUACAUUUUUGUUAUAGUUCGUUUGUAGAUUGUGGCAUAAACAAACUUCCAUGCACCACUGGGAAGGCUGGGACAGGCUUCUUCAUGAAGCUCAAGAGAGGACACUGAAAAACUUUGUUUAACAAAUCAAAACAAUACUACAUGUUAUACACAACGGCCACUCGCUCCUGUCUACCUUUCACACUUAUUUGCCUGAAGCACCCUUUGGUAUCUCUUGGAACAACAAUUCUCUCUCUGGGCUGCUCUUCCAUUAAGAGAGACCUGAAAUAGGAGCAUUUUGGUGCAAAACUCCAGAACUGCCUGUUUUGGGGCUCCAUUUCACAUGCAGCUCCUUGGCGCUGGAUUCAACAAGGAGGGCGGUCCACGGUUCGGAAACUGUUUAUCUACUUUGACAAAUUUGCCUUGAAACCAAAAGACCAAAUUUUCUAACAAUUUAAUAUAUUAUUUCACCACUUCCCAACAACUAGAAAAAAAAAAGGUGCCCGAUCUCUUAUUGUCUCAGAAGUGGAACAUGUAUUAAUUUUUAAUAGUUACGACUAGUAGCUUGAAAGCUCCCUCCACUCUACAUGCAAUGGAAUUUAUCUCUGAGAAGCUAAAAUCUAUGUUUUUUGCAAUGUUCCAUCCUAUUCCUGUAGGGAUGUCUGCUGCGGUGGGCACAGGUGCUUGGGGGGAGCAGGGAGCUGAAGCCACACAAGAUCCAUCCCUCCGUGCUCAAAAAUCCCACCGUUAACAGCCCGGACUUUCGCUCUUUCUAAUUCCAGCCAGAAAUUGCCUGAUUUCAACCAGAUUGGUGCCCCUCGGAGAGAACAUGGGCAAAAAAAGCAUGGCUGACAGCAGAACUCCCAUCCUCUCCCCCUCACCCAACCCAACCAACUUUCUACCAGCCUUUUGGGUCAAUCCCUGCAAAUCAAGCACAUCUGCGGGGUGUUUGCUGUGUUGCUGCUCUGCAGUGCAAGCCAGCAACCAGCGGGAGGUGAGGUUGGUCCAUUUUGAGGCAAAAAACCUCCCUGGGCUCAGUCAGAAGAGUUUCCUGUUUGCUCUGCCCAGGAAAUGAGGGGAGCAGGUCUCCGAUGGAAAUUUUUCGCAGCCUCGGCUAAAAAUAGCGGUGAGGUAAAAAAAGUGGGCACCCACUCUUACGGGGCCAUUUCCUUUCUAAAAACAAGCGGGCUGAGACUGCGGGCCGGUUUAUUUAUCGGCGCGUUUGUUUGAGCAGCCGGAGUACCAAAAAUGCCGCGUGUGAGUUUCCUUUCGUUUAAUAAAGCCACCGCCUGU